GGAAAAGGCAGUGUCGGCCCUGGGUCUACCAGGAAGGGGUUGGGGGGGACCUGCUGCCAUUGCCUGCCUCUUUGUCUGCUCAGGGAACUUGAACAAAAGGAGAAACUCGGAUGAACUCCCAUCUCUCUUCCUUUGGGUCAAAGUGUGUUGGAGAAGCAUGAUGGCUGCCAAAGCACCUUAGAGCUGUACUGCAUUACUGCUUAAUUCAACUGUGGAUAUUUCACUGGGACCUGGGAUAGGAGAAACUGGGAAUGAAUAAAGACAUCAAGCAUCAUCAUUUGGAUUUACACAUCAGUUAAUGAACUGUUAGAAGUAGUGGAUGUGGCUUUUAAAUCAGAAAAUGUGCAGAAGAUGCUGAUGAAAAUGUUUUGGAGUAGAUCACUUUUUGACACAGGUUCUACCAGUUGAAAUAAGGUGCAGCAAAAUUAAUUCUCUGCUAUGCAGUCGGAUGUAGAUGUUUGAUAGUGCAUUUCAAAGGCAAUAGCUGGAUUUUGAACACCAGGAUUGUUGAAUAAAACAGUUCUGUGGAUGAACACCCAGCAAUCUGUGAUUGGAUCAACUUUUUCAUGAAUAGUAACA